rnacentral:rRNA from 1 species
AUUGAACGCUGGCGGCAGGCCUAACACAUGCAAGUCGAAUGGUAACAGGAAACAGCUUGCUGUUUCGCUGACGAGUGGCGGACGGGUGAGUAAUGUCUGUGAAACUGCCUGAUGGAGGGGGAUAACUACUGGAAACGGUAGCUAAUACCGCAUAACGUCGCAAGACCAAAGAGGGGGACCUUCGGGCCUCUUGCCCUCAGAUGUGCCCAGAUGGGAUUAGCUAGUAGGUGGGGUAACGGCUCACCUAGGCGACGAUCCCUAGCUGGUCUGAGAGGAUGACCAGCCACACUGGAACUGAGACACGGUCCAGACUCCUACGGGAGGCAGCAGUGGGGAAUAUUGCACAAUGGGCGCAAGCCUGAUGCAGCCAUGCCGCGUGUAUGAAGAAGGCCUUCGGGUUGUAAAGUACUUUCAGCGGGGAGGAAGGGAGUAAAGUUAAUACCUUUGCUCAUUGACGUUACCCGCAGAAGAAGCACCGGCUAACUCCGUG